ACACACACACACACACACACACACUCACCGUUCUCACCUAUCGCCCUUUCUCUCUUCUCUCUUUCUCUCUCGAACUCAACCGCUCUCACCCUCCUCAAUUUCUUCUCAAUCACUCCUCUCAAUUUCUUUCUCUCUCAAACUCAAUCACUCCUCCCUCAAUAGAGACUAAGCCACUGUCACUCAAUUACGGUUCGUCGAUUUGGGGGUUCAUCCAUUUGGCUCCUCACUCGAUUUCUUCCAAUUUGGUUCGAGGUUGGAGUCAGUAGAGGAGGCUGGGCUUGGCGCAGCGGAGGAGGGGGUUGGGGCCGGACCGUUUGGCGCGAUUUCUGCUUCCCUGGGCAGCUUCCUAAGGGAAGGAUAGGGGAAUACACAGGCUCUACACAGCUUGGGAGGAGCUGAAGGGAACAAAGAAUCAAAGGUCCAAGUUCAACCUCUGUUCAACUUUAAGGUUAAGGAGGCUAUCAAUUAUAUGAGUAUGGAUUGUUGGACUGGAAAAGGUGUAGAAGUGAGCUUUCAUUUUGCAAUUCAAGUUAUUUGAUGAUUAAUAUAAGUGGAUUCAUGCAAACUAAAUUGUGUAUCAUGUACAAUUUUGUAUUUAAGUUUCUUGUAUGGAUAAUAGGGCAUGAUUUUAAAGUCCCAUUUAAAACAAUGGUUUGGAUCCUUU